AUUGAACGCUGGCGGCAGGCCUAACACAUGCAAGUCGAACGAGCGGCGGCAGGGUGAGUAAUGUAUGGGAAACUGCCUGAUGGAGGGGGAUAACUACUGGAAACGGUAGCUAAUACCGCAUACCAUCAGAUGUACCCAGAUGGGAUUAGCUGGUAGGUGAGGUAAAGGCUCACCUAGGCGACGAUCCCUAGCUGGUCUGAGAGGAUGACCAGCCACACUGGGACUGAGAAACGGCCCAGACUCCUACGGGAGGCAGCAGUGGGGAAUAUUGCACAAUGGGCGCAAGCCGGAUGCAGCCAUGCCGCGUGUAUGAAGAAGGCCUUCGGGUUGUAAAGUACUUUCAGUCGGGAGGCGUUACCGACAGAAGAAGCACCGGCUAACUCCGUGCCAGCAGCCGCGGUAAUUC
rnacentral:rRNA from 1 species